GACAGAGGGUGCAAACGUUGUUCGGAAUUACUGGGCGUAAAGCGUGUGUAGGCGGCCACGUAAGUCGGAUGUGAAAGCCCCAGGCUCAACCUGGGAAGUGCACUCGAUACUGCGUGGCUUGAGUAUCGGAGAGGUUGGUGGAAUUCUCGGUGUAGAGGUGAAAUUCGUAGAUAUCGAGAGGAACACCGGUGGCGAAGGCGGCCAACUGGACGAAUACUGACGCUGAGACACGGAAGCGUGGGGAGCAAACAGG
rnacentral:rRNA from 1 species